rnacentral:lncRNA from 1 species
GUCAAACUCAAAGACGAAGGACAAGAUAUCAAAUUGACGAAGGAGUUCAAGGCGCGAGACCCUUGGCAGGUGGGAGAGGCGGUUGGACGCCUCAAGGGCCAGUAUAGAGAGAGAGGAACUGCGAAGAAGCUUACAGUUUACGCCGAUUCAUUCAAGCAUAGGUACAACCUAAUCUUCUACCUGUUUGCCUUCAAUGUGGUACCAAAAAAAGUGAAAAACGGGAGCUCCGCAAUAGUGAUCUCUACUUUUUGGACAAAAUGAUGCAUGGUGUGGGUGCGCAGCUGACCGGCAUUCCUCUA